UACGUAGGGUGCGAGCGUUAAUCGGAAUUACUGGGCGUAAAGCGUACGCAGGCGGCUUUGCAAGACAGGUGUGAAAUCCCCGGGCCUAACCUGGGAACUGCAUUUGUGACUGCAUGGCUAGAGUUUGUCAGAGGGGGGUGGAAUUCCACGUGUAGCAGUGAAAUGCGUAGAUAUGUGGAGGAACACCGAUGGCGAAGGCAGCCCCCUGGGAUGUGACUGACGCUGAGACGCGAAAGCGUGGGGAGCAAACAGG
rnacentral:rRNA from 1 species